GGAGUUAGCCGGUGCUUCUUCUGCGAGUAACGUCACAGAUGUAAGGUAUUAACUUACACCCUUUCCUCCUCGCUGAAAGUGCUUUACAACCCGAAGGCCUUCUUCACACACGCGGCAUGGCUGCAUCAGGGUUUCCCCCAUUGUGCAAUAUUCCCCACUGCUGCCUCCCGUAGGAGUCUGGGCCGUGUCUCAGUCCCAGUGUGGCUGAUCAUCCUCUCAGACCAGCUAGGGAUCGUCGCCUAGGUGAGCCUUUACCUCACCUACUAGCUAAUCCCACCUGGGCUUAUCCAUCAGCGCAAGGCCCGAAGGUCCCCUCGCUUUCCCCCGUACGGGCGUAUGCGGUAUUAGCAGUCGUUUCCAACUGUUAUCCCCCACCAAAUAGGGCAAAUUACCCACGGCAUUACUCACCCGUCCGCCGCUCGUCAUCUUCAAAAGACAAGACUUUUGUAAAUAGUUACCGCUCGACUUGUCAUGUGUUAGGUCCUCGCCGCCAGCGUUCUAAUACUGAGCCACGGAUACAAACUACUGA
rnacentral:rRNA from 1 species